UGGUAGCAAUAUUGGACGCCUAGAGUGGCGGAAGGGCGAGGAACGCGUGAGCGACCUGCCCCUACGGCGGGGACAACCCGGGGAAACCCGGGCUAAAACCCGGUGGUGCUUCCCUUAGGCAUCUUUGGGAAGCUAAAUGCGGAGCAAUCCGCACCGAAGGGAGGGGCUCGCGUACCAUCAGCUUGUUGGCGGGGUAACGGCCCACCAAGGCUUACGGUUAGCUGGUCUGAGAGGACGACCAGCCGCAUUGGGACUGAGACACUGCCCAAACUCCUACGGGAGGCUGCAGUCGAGGAUCAUUCGCAAUGGGCGAAAGCCUGACGGUGCGACGCUGCGUGGAGGAUGAAGGCCUUCGGGUCGUAAACUCCUGUCAUGACGGAAGAGGCAGAGGGGAGGAAAUGCCCCCGAGUUGACGGUACGUCAAGAGGAAGCCACGGCUAACUCUGUGCCAGCAGCCGCGGUAAUACAGAGGUGGCGAGCGUUGUUCGGAUUUACUGGGCGUAAAGGGCGCGUAGGCGGCGUCGCGUGUCGCGUGUGAAAUCCUCGGGCCUAACCCGAGAAGUGCGCGCGAAACUGUGAUGCUUGAGUGCGGGAUGGGGAGUCGGAAUGCAGGGUGUAGCGGUGAAAUGCGUUGAUAUCCUGCAGAACACCGGAGGCGAAGGCGGACUCCUGGAACGCUACUGACGCUGAGGCGCGAAAGUCGGGGGAGCAAACAGGAUUAGAUACCCUGGUAGUCCCGACCCUAAACGGUGUACACUAGGGGUGGGCUGCGUCACAGCAGCCCGUCCCUGAGCUAACGCGUUAAGUGUACCGCCUGGGGAGUACGGCCGCAAGGCUAAAACUCAAAGAAAUUGACGGGGGCCCGCACAAGCAGAGGAGCAUGUGGCUCAAUUCGAUGCAACGCGAAGAACCUUACCUAGGCUUGACAUGCAGCUGCACGACCUAUGAAAGUAGUSUCUUCGCUUCGAGGGUGCUGCACAGGUGCUGCAUGGCUGUCGUCAGUUCGUGCCGUGAGGUGUUUGGUUAAGUCCAGCAACGAACGCAACCCCUGUGUCCAGUUGCCAGCGGGCGACGCCGGGAACUCUGGACAGACUGCCUAUUUACGUAGGAGGAAGGUGGGGAUGACGUCAAGUCAGUAUGGCCCUUACGCCUAGGGCUGCACACGUGCUACAAUGGCGCGCACAGAAGGUCGCCGCCGCGCGAGCGGCAGCUAAUCCCCAGAGCGCGCCCCAGUUCGGAUUGGGGUCUGCAACCCGACCCCAUGAAGUCGGAUUUGCUAGUAACGGCGCAUCAGCUACGGCGCCGUGAAUACGUUCCCGGGCCUUGUACACACCGCCCGUCAC
rnacentral:rRNA from 1 species